rnacentral:rRNA from 1 species
AUUGAACGCUGGCGGCAGGCCUAACACAUGCAAGUCGAGCGAGCGGCGGACGGGUGAGUAAUGUAUGGGGACUGCCCGAUAGAGGGGGAUAACUGCUGUAAACGGUGGCUAAUACCGCAUACUAUCGGAUAACCCAUAUGGGAUUAGCUAGUAGGUGGGGUAAAGGCGCACCUAGGCGAUGAUCCCUAGCUAGUCUGAGAGGAUGAUCAGCCACACUGGGACUGAGACACGGCCCAGACUCCUACGGAGGCAGCAGUGGGGAAUAUUGGACAAUGGGCGAAAGCCUGAUGCAGCCAUGCCGCGUGUAUGAAGAAGGCCUUAGGGUUGUAAAGUACUGUCAGCGGGGAGGCGUUACCCGCAGAAGAAGCACCGGCUAACUCCGUGCCAGCAGCCGCGGUAAUUC